UACGUAGGUCCCGAGCGUUGUCCGGAUUUAUUGGGCGUAAAGCGAGCGCAGGUGGUUUAUUAAGUCUGGUGUAAAAGGCAGUGGCUCAACCAUUGUAUGCAUUGGACACUGGUAGACUUGAGUGCAGGAGAGGAGAGUGGAAUUCCAUGUGUAGCGGUGAAAUGCGUAGAUAUAUGGAGGAACACCGGUGGCGAAAGCGGCUCUCUGGCCUGUAACUGACACUGAGGCACGAAAGCGUGGGGAGCAAACAGG
rnacentral:rRNA from 1 species